GAAAAUAUACAACAUCCCCUAUUACUAGGUUAUUCAAAAUGAAAUACAAAUUCACUGUAAUUGUAGUGAAGCUGCCCUGCACAAUCGAUGAACCAACAGCAUAGCCUAGGCCUAUAAGUUAUCUCCGAGACUCAUGGAUAAAAAGUUUUGAGCAUAUCAUAAGGCUUUGAAACAACAUUCCCAACGAACAUGUUUUCCACUCAGUUUCAAACUGUUGUUGAAUUUCUUUCUUCAAAUUGAUCAUCACAGUGAGCCACUCAGGUUGAGGCCUGGCUUGUACAGGAGUGCUAAGUGUCGUAGCUUCAAAGGCUUAGCAGUGUGAAAGGUGUGCCGCUGCUUUGUGCUUCACAGUUCUGCUACCAAGAAAGAUCCAUGAGCAGCAGAAAAGCACUUCACAGCAGCGAAAGUGGAUACAACAUUAUCCAACUUGCCAUAGCUCCAGCUGCCACACCAUUCAUUUGGGCUGGAGAGUCAGGCUCUGGGGAUGAGUGUUUGGAAAACCUGUAAUGUUAAUUUUGGGUCUAUUAUUUGAGUGGAAUAGACCCAUACAAUUAAGUGAUAUUUAUGAGAAUAGGGUAGAACAACAACGCCACGCCCACGUACAUCCGCAAAAAAAUUUAACCAGG
rnacentral:lncRNA from 1 species